rfam:Triticum aestivum genome assembly, contig: Triticum_aestivum_CS42_TGACv1_scaffold_361188_4DS
ACUUAGUUGGUAGAGUACAAAGCUCUUAACCUUGUGGACGUGGGUUCAAGCCCCAU